UUUUAUCUGAAACAUAAUGAACCAUAUACAAUCGUCAAGUUGACGAAAACCUAUGCGGUCGUCCGGAAGGAAAAGCGAAUUUCAAACUCUAUAAAUAUCUGCCAAGGAUAAAAAAUCCUCCGCGGUGAAUUUAACGUCAGGUCAAGUAGGCCAAAUGCGGAUAUUAAGAUGCGGGGAUGGCGGAACAUGUAUUGUUUUUUUUUUUCAAUUUUCGCCGGACAAAAUAAUAUUUAUUAAGGUAUCUAGAACGUAUUUAAAAUGAUUAUAAUUUUUAAAGGGGGC